AGUCACUGACAUUAGAUACCCGGGUAGUCCCAGCCGUAAACAAUGUGCGUUAGGUGUGUCGGUAACCACGUGUUACUGAUGCACCGAAGAGAAAUCGUGAAACGCACCACCUGGGAAGUACGGUCGCAAGGCUGAAACUUAAAGGAAUUGGCGGGGAGCACCACAACAGGUGGAGCCUGCGGUUUAAUUGGAUUCAACGCCGGACAUCUCACCGGAUAAGACAGCUGAAUGAUUGUCAAUCUGAAGGUUUUACAUGACUAGUCUG
rnacentral:rRNA from 1 species